rnacentral:lncRNA from 1 species
AGCAAUGAAAGUCCCUGAAAAAUGGAUGACACUCUGGUCCGUGAAGCCCAGAGUUUGUUUGGCCCAGGACAUUCGAGAAGUGUUGGAAACUGGCAUGCCGUGUGGUGCAGCGGGCCACAGGGAUGACGGGACUCUAGCAAAGAGGCUCAGACAGCCUACCUCUAACACCGGAUCCAGAAUCAUCUUCACACGGAAAGGAGGUAACGUGCAGGUCAGGGAGACAUAGCACGCGUCACCUCAUUCAGCGGUUGUCAGCCCCAGCUGCACAGUGACAUCCCAGCCCCUGCCCAGACCAAAGAAAUCCGACUUCUUUUCCUUUAAUCUCAUGUCUGCAAUAGAUUCAGGGCAAUGCCACAUCGCCAACCCCCACCCCCAGCGUGACCCUCCUUGCACAAAGAUAAAGCAAGCUGACAUUGGGGAGAGGGGUGAAGGAGACCCCAGAAAUAUUCAGUGAGGUGGAGUGCCAGAGCUUCAAAGGCCUCUGCGUGGCAGCUGUCAGUAAGAGCCACAGACACCUUAGCUCAGCAGGCUCAUCGGACUCCCUUCUGGCUUCCUGGGGGCCUGUGACACAGGGCAGGUGUUUUUGAAUCCGGAUGAAGGGAGCAAGGGAGAUGCGCCACCCAGAGAAAGAAGCCAGGGGAGGACGGCGGAUGGGGACACUGUUCCAGGGACUGCAUCUCUCUCUCCCCAGAACCAGGAGUACAUCCUUUUUGCAGCACUCCCCGACCUCUCUUGCCCUGAUGCAGCCAGGGAAGGAUGGCCUUCUCACAUGCCUCCUCCGAGAAAAAGUGAGUAGAGGAAGCCCUAGAUCUAUGCAUGUGGAUGAGACCCAGCCCCUGGUCAAUGGCCUGGCUCCCGUUUCUAGAAUGCCCAGGCAUGAGAAUGCCAACACAAGCCAAAAUUCCUUCCACGAACAGAGAUGUGUAGACGGGCUUCCCCCUCCCGGCCACACUGCACCUCACCUGGCGGCAUCUCCUGGGAGCCCAGGGGUGCUGGGGUGGCUUGGACCACGGCUCUGCCUCUCUCUAAAUUUCCCUCACCUCUUUGUUCUCCAACAACUGCCAAGGCUCAUGAGACCGGGAAGCAGGUGGGGUGAGGGGUGGGAAGCAGAGAAAGCAGACACAUGCAUCUGA